CGUAUGGUUCUAUUUUGUUGGUUUCUAGGACCGUCGUAAUGAUUAAUAGGGACGGUCGGGGGCAUCAGUAUUCAGUUGUCAGAGGUGAAAUUCUUGGAUUUACUGAAGACUAACUACUGCGAAAGAUUUGCCAAGGACGUUUUCAUUAAUCAAGAACGAAAGUUAGGGGAUCGAAGACGAUCAGAUACCGUCGUAGUCUUAACCGUAAACUAUGCCGACUAGGGAUCGGAGGGCGUUAUAAUAACCUCUCCGGCACCUUACGAGAAAUCAAAGUUUUUGGGUUCUGGGGGGAGUAUGGUUGCAAGGCUGAAACUUAAAGGAAUUGACGGAAGGGCACCACCAGGAGUGGAGCCUGCGGCUUAAUUUGACUCAACACGGGGAAACUCACCAGGUCCAGACACAAUAAGGAUUGACAGAUUGAGAGCUCUUUCAUGAUUUUGUGGGUGGUGGUGCAUGGCCGUUCUUAGUUGGUGGAGUGAUUUGUCUGCUUAAUUGCGAUAACGAACGAGACCUUAACCUGCUAAAUAGCUGUAACAAUAGAUUAUUGUUUUGACAGCUUCUUAGAGGGACUAUCGAUUUUCAAGUCGAUGGAAGUUUGAGGCAAUAACAGGUCUGUGAUGCCCUUAGACGUUCUGGGCCGCACGCGCGCUACACUGACGGAGCCAGCGAGUCUAACCUGUGCCGAGAGGUAUGGGUAAUCUUGUGAACUCCGUCGUGC
rnacentral:rRNA from 1 species